rnacentral:rRNA from 1 species
UGUUCCUACGGGGCGCAGCAGUGGGGAAUAUUGCACAAUGGGGGAAACCCUGAUGCAGCGACGCCGCGUGAGUGAAGAAGUAAUUCGUUACGUAAAGCUCUAUCAGCAGGGAAGAAAUACUGACCUUACGGUCAGCAGACGGUACCUGAGUAAGAAGCCCCGGCUAACUACGUGCCAGCAGCCGCGGUAAUACGUAGGUGGCAAGCGUUAUCCGGAUUUACUGGGUGUAAAGGGCGUGUAGGCGGGGACGCAAGUCAGAUGUGAAAACCACGGGCUCAACCUGUGGCCUGCAUUUGAAACUGGGG